ACAAGUGGCGUGUUUACAUGCAGAGAGCGGUUGCUAAAGGAUAGGAAGCUGAAGCUGGAUGAAGGAAGCAACUACAUGCAACCGAUGGCAAUAAUGCAUUGCAGGUACUGGGAAUUCACUUGAAAUAUUAAGGUCUUUUACAUUCUUCUUUUUUUGCUGGUGCCACAGUGGUAAUAGUGUUGGGCAUUCGAAAUAUUGCUGCGAGAUUAUUUAAUUGUCAAUGUACCACAUGAUAGGGUUGAGGCUCGUCAGAAAUGUCAAGUUGGUCCCGGACGUGGGUAUGGUGCCCGCAAGGCCGACAGAGCUGAGAUCAAGCGCUGAGAUCGUGCCCUCGUGCCUGCGGCUGCAUGUCACACCUGGCCAGAGGCAUAGGCUACCACUACUGUUCUAAGAGGACAACCUGCUCGAUAGCUAGCCUAGGAUGGCCUUCAGUUCCAGCAAGGCUUGUCGGCUCGUCUCACUGCAGAACGCUAUUGUUGGCGCCUAAUUGAACGAAGUUGAUACCGGUAGGAUCCCAUGAAGCAAUAUAAGCCGCAGAAGUCUGACGAGGAAUGACAUAGAUGCAGUGCGUUCGUUUGUUGCCACUGAAAAAAGAUCUGAACCAAGUAUUUCUGUAAGUAUACCAACAAGUUAGUUGCUACUACUUUGCAUAUUGAUCUUCGUUGGCUGAAUGUUUGAGUUUUUUUCAAGGCACAAACACUUUAUUUUGAGAUCUAUCUGCCCGAUUUCAG
rnacentral:lncRNA from 1 species